rnacentral:tRNA from 1 species
GCCUGGCUGGCUCAGUGGGAAGAGCACGUGACUCUUGAUCCUCAGGGUCAUGAGUUCAAGUCUCAUGUUGAGUG